ACGAGGCACGAGUCCAUAGUUUGGUGGCUACCAGUUGGUUCUGUUGUCAAACUUAAUUUCGACACUGCUUUUGAUGACUCUCGGGUAAAAUCAGUCUUAGGGGUGGUGGUUAGAAAUGCUUCGGGGGAGGUCCUCGCAUUCUAAACAGUGGCUCACGGAGAGGUGGCCUCUUCAUUUGCAGGAGAGGCCCUUGUGUGCCUCCAAGCAAUGUUUAUGGGAAAAUAGAUGGGGUUCGCAUCAGUUAUCAUUGAAGGAGACUCGAUAUUAGUAAUAAAAAAAAAAGUAACUCAGAGAAGACUAACAAAUCAGUGAUUGGGGAUAUAAUAUGGAACAUUCAGCAGCAAAAACAAUUUUUUCACCAAAUAACCUUUCAACAUACAUACAAAUUUGCAAAUAUUAUCGGUCACAACUUAGCUAGAGAAGCGAUGAAAGGAGAAUCGUGAGCAUACCUGAUCGGAAUAGUCCCUGAGCAACGAACAUUGGAGGUGGAUCAACGGAGAAUGAGGGAACCUGACUGAGGGUUGUUUGAUAGGGGGUCUAUGCAUAGAAGGAAAACAGGAAAGUGGGAUUUUGGAAACCGCUUUUCUGGGACUGGAAUCGGUGC
rnacentral:lncRNA from 1 species